UACGUAGGGUGCGAGCGUUGUCCGGAUUUAUUGGGCGUAAAGAGCUCGUAGGCGGUUUGUCGCGUCUGCUGUGAAAACCUCGGGCUUAACUCGGGGCUUGCUUUCGAUACGGGCAGACUGGAGGUAUGCAGGGGAGAACGGAAUUCCUGGUGUAGCGGUGAAAUGCGCAGAUAUCAGGAGGAACACCGGUGGCGAAGGCGGUUCUCUGGGCAUGACCUGACGCUGAGGAGCGAAAGUGUGGGGAGCGAACAGG
rnacentral:rRNA from 1 species